rnacentral:rRNA from 1 species
GGUUGAUCCUGCCAGUAGUCAUACGCUUGUCUCAAAGAUUAAGCCAUGCAUGUCUAAGUAUAAACCGCUCGAACGGUGAAACUGCGAAUGGCUCAUUAAAUCAGUUAUAGUUUAUUUGAUAGUCCCUUUUUACUACUCGGAUAACCGUAGUAAAUCUAGAGCUAAUACGUGCGGAAAGGGCCGACUGGGGAGGGGGCAACCCUUCUUCGGAGAGGUCCGUAUUUAUUAGAUACAAAACCGAUACGGGGCAUCCCAAACCGGCGAGGAAAGGAAAGGAGAAGGGAAACCUUCUU